UUCAGGAUACCCAAGCCUAAACCUGACGCCUCGGCACUUGGGAAAGCAGCAAGAGCCUGACAGACCCUCUCACGAUUCCCCCUCUUCCUCUGAAGCAAGUGCUCAGACCCUCACAGGAGAAGCGCCUCCUUCCACCCACGGGAAAGGACUAUCUUCAUCUUUGAAGACCCGGGGACACAGAGACCGACCCACAUAGCAGGCCCCGCUGUGUCCCACUCCGGUUUCUUACUGCUCAACCAUACCUUGUUAUCUAGCCAUACCGCCCCAUGGCUGUCUCCUUUAUCAAAGUCGGCACAAGGAAGGUGCAGACAUGGAGCUGCAUUGUCCUAAAUUAUUCUGUCUGAGGAUCUCCAAGUCAGCUGUGCAGAGAAUUCAGAAUUUGUGCCAGACACCAAGCUUUGUGAAGAGUGAAAAACCAGACGGACAUGCCCAGCGCUUGCCACGUGCUCUUCUGGCUUCCAUGUGGAAUGCGUGCUUGUCUGCCAGAGUCCUUAUGAAACAGGGACGUGGCUAACCCAGGCUCUUGCUUUCAAAGAGUGGUGGCGUUAUAAUGAGGUAAUGAGAAUAAAUCAUGAGAAAAGUCUAGAGUUUAUCCUGGAGAUCUUAGAAGACAGCACACGGGGCAUUGGGAUUGUGUCUGGUCACCUUGUGGAACUAUUGAUAUUUGCUGGCAUAAUUUGAUUAUGAUUACACAUUUUGGUUUUAUGAAGGGAAGAACAUUCAUUUCUACCCUCCUUAGCUCUUCCUUUGAAUCUCACAAUCCCUGUCUUUCAGAUAAAGGUUUGAUUUCUUAGGGGUGGGGGGAAUCCUCUGAUUACCAUUUCUCACCUAAAUUGUACUUCCUCCCAAAAUGCCACUUCUCCCUCCCUAGAGGAAAAUCAGGGCAGACGGAAGGUAGACUUUGAAGCUGAUGGUGAUGUUAGAAGUGGCAAUCUCCAUCCUAGGGGGAAUCCUCAAAUACCCGAGGAUUGAUUGAUUCUAACUUUUCCUUUACUCCCCAAGAUGAAAGAAAAAGAUGAAGGAUUUCUCAGUGGAGUUCCUUCCCAUUAGAAGGCCAGAGACCCCCACCCAUCUGCUGAGGGUCAGUGGGUUUCUGCCAGGCUGGUGGAGCAACACCAAGAGCCCUCUGUUGGUAGACAGCAGGGCUGCUGAGAUCUGCUUUGCCAUUAAAGAAAGCAAACCAAAGCAAACAGUGUUGUGAAUGUCUUUCAGCCCAGUAGCUGCACAUGAGAAACUGCUUCGUUUUUCCCUGUCAUGACCAUCUUGAGAACAGUCUAUGCUUAACAUUUCCUCUUGUCCACCCCCUGCCCCCACCAUUUAAUCGUCUUCAGGUAAGGAAACCAAGUCUUAUGAUGCAUAUACCAAGGCUUCUGUGAGUAUCGAAAGUCCCUACAGCAGUGGUUCUCAACCUGUGGGUUGCAACCCCUUUAGGAGGGUUGAAUGACCCUUUCACAGGGGUCACACAUCAGAUAUCCUGCACAUCAGAUAUUUACAUUAUGGUUCAUAACAGUAGCAAAAUUACAGUUAUGAAGUUGCAACGAAAACAAUUUUUAUGGUUGGGGGGGUCACCACAACAUGAGGAGCUGGAUGAAAGGGUCACAGCAUUAGGAAGGUUGAGAACCACUGCCCUACAGAGUCGGGACCAUAACGUCCCCCUCAGAUCGUGCAAUGGAGAAGGAAGGUCUAGCCUUACAAUGCCCCCACUCUGCCCCACUUGCUUGUCCUCAGUUUGCUUUGUUGACUUUGGUUUUUAGGGGUUGGAGCUGAGGCAGAGAAGGAGACAGAAGGAGUAGUCUUGGUCUUUCUGUGCUCUUCAUGGGUCCUCCUCUUGGCUGACAGACCCGGGGCUAGUCAUGAUGUCACUGCAUUUUCUACCCUGUGUGGGGGGCUUUUCAGAAGUCCUAGCUGCUGCUGAGGACAAAACACUCCGCCGCUGAGCUCUUGGG